rnacentral:rRNA from 1 species
AUUGAACGCUGGCGGCAUGCCUUACACAUGCAAGUCGAACGAGUGUAGCAAUACACAAGUGGCGAACGGGUGAGUAAUGCAUCGGAACGUAUCCUAUUGUGGGGGAUAACGUAGCGAAAGUUAAGCUAAUACCGCAUAAGACCUGAGGGUGAAAGCGGGGGAUCCUCGGACCUCGCGCGAUAGGCUGGGCCGAUGUCGGAGUAGCUAGUAGGUGGGGUAAAGGCUUAACUAGGCGACGAUCCGUAGCGGGUCUGAGAGGAUGAUCCGCCACACUGGGACUGAGACACGGCCCAGACUCCUACGGGAGGCAGCAGUGGGGAAUUUUGGACAAUGGGCGCAAGCCUGAUCCAGCCAUGCCGCGUGAGUGAAGAAGGCCUUCGGGUUGUAAAGCUCUUUCGGACGGAAAGAAAUUGCUUCGGAUAAUACCUGGAGUAGAUGACGGUACCGUAAGAAGAAGCACCGGCUAACUACGUGCCAGCCGCCGCCGUAA